rnacentral:rRNA from 1 species
AACGAACGCUGGCGGCAUGCCUAACACAUGCAAGUCGAACGAGACCUUCGGGUCUAGUGGCGCACGGGUGCGUAACGCGUGGGAACCUGCCCUUAGGUUCGGAAUAACUCCCCGAAAGGGGUGCUAAUACCGGAUAAUGUCUUCGGACCAAAGAUUUAUCGCCUUUGGAUGGGCCCGCGUUAGAUUCGCGAGUUGGUAGGGUAAAAGCCUACCAAGGCGACGAUCCAUAGCUGGUCGGGUAGGAGGAUCAGCCGCACUGGGAAUGAGACACGGCCCAGACUCCUACGGGAAGGAGCAGUGGGGUAUAUUGUAGGAUGGGCGCAGGCGUGAUCCAGCCGUGCCGCGGAAGUGAUCAAGGGCUUAGGGUUGUAAAGCUCUUUUACCCGGGGUGAUAAUGACGGUAACGGGAAAAUAAGCACCGGCUAACUCCGUG